rnacentral:rRNA from 1 species
GUGAGGAAUAUUGGACAAUGGGCGCAAGCCUGAUCCAGCCAUGCCGCGUGAGUGAUGAAGGCCCUAGGGUUGUAAAGCUCUUUCGACGGGGAUGAUAAUGACCGUACCCGUAGAAGAAGCCACGGCUAAAUUCGUGCCAGCAGCCGCGGUAAUACGAAUGUGGCAAGCGUUGUUCGGAAUCACUGGGCGUAAAGAAUGCGUAGGCGGCUUGACAAGUCAGGAGUGAAAUCCCAAGGCUCAACCUUGGAACUGCUUUUGAAACUGUCUUGCUAGAGUCCCGGAGGGGUUGGCGGAAUUCCGAGUGUAGAGGUGAAAUUCGCAGAUAUUCGGAGGAACACCAGUGGCGUAGGCGGCCAACUGGACGGGAACUGACGCUGAGGCAUGAAAGUGUGGGGAGCAAACAGGAUUAGAAACCCGAGUAGUCC